rnacentral:rRNA from 1 species
AUUGAACGCUGGCGGCAGGCCUAACACAUGCAAGUCGAGCGGAGCGGCGGACGGGUGAUUAAUGCCUAGGAAUCUGCCUGUUAGUGGGGGAUAACGUCCGGAAACGGGCGCUAAUACCGCAUACUAUCAGAUGAGCCUCGGUCGGAUUAGCUAGUUGGUGGGGUAAAGGCCUACCAAGGCGAGGAUCCGUAACUGGUCUGAGAGGAUGAUCAGUCACCCUGGAACUGAGAACGGGUCCAGACUCCUACGGGAGGCAGCAGAGGGGAAUAUUGGAAAAUGGGCGAAAGCCUGAUCCAGCCAUGCCGCGGGUGUGAAGAAGGUUUUCGGAUUGUAAAGCACUUUAAGUUGGGAGGCGUUACCAACAGAAUAAGCACCGGCUAACUACGUACCAGCAGCCGCGGUAAUUC